UACCAAGUUCGGCAUUGUGGUGGUGUUGGAUCCAACCUUGGUUGCCAUAUUAAUUUCUCUCCGGCUGCAGCUCAUAAAUGGUUGGUGUCGCAGCCACCUCCCGCAAUGCCAAAUUAUUAUUUUUUUUUAAUUUAUUAUUCCAACCGUUUAUCAAGGUGGUGGCCUCGACCUUGAGUGACCAUCAUAAUGAUGUUUAAUGAUUGUCUUAAGAACAAUUAGCAUUAGGGUUUAUAUUUUUGGAUUUAAGAUUUUUCUUUAAGAAGAAAACAAUAAUCUAGUGUAGUUGAACUUACUGUAAAAUCUGUAGAAUGUUGAAGUGGUGCAUCAGGAUUGGAGGGUACCCAAUCCUGCCAGCAACAACCCCCCUUAUUGGGCAAGAAAAGGCAGCAGAGGAAAAUCCAGCAAAAACAACAUAACAUUGCCUCGAGCCCCAACCAACAAGAAGAAUCAUUCGGGAUGUGCACACAUGCAGAAAAACACAUGCAGAAAAACAGAUGCAGAAAAUGUGGACCUACAAAAACACAUGCACAUGCAGUGCAGAAAGCAUUCGGACCACAUGACAGCAAAUAUGCAGACCAUUCAUCACAUGGACAGCACAUGCAGAACAGAAAAAUCACAUGGACAGCAACCAAUCAUUCGGAAAGCAGCUCACACAUGCACAUGCAGGAUAGCAACUCACACUUGCAGCAGCACAUGUACAGUAGCAGAAAAAUCUUUCAACAAAGCAGACCAUCACGCUGAAGGAAAAGCAAUUGGACAGCAUCAGCAGAUAAUCAUUCGGACCACAACAUCACACAUGCAGAAAAUUCAACCAUGCAGCAGACUAAAACAUACAGACAUGCAGAAAAAUGCAAACAUACAGACCAAACUCACAUGAACCGAAAGCAGCAGCAGAAGUUUUUGACCCUUUACUUUUCAAACUUGUUUUUAUAUGGCUGGGAGACUUUUGUUCAUGGAGGAAGAGUAGUUUUCGGUUUGGCAGCAGCAAGACUUGGGCAGCUGUUUUUCUUGACUUUUACUUUGAUUCAUUUCUUUUUCUUGCUUUCAGUUUGGCAGCAAGAGCGGGAGAGUUUCAGUUUUUCUUCUUUCUUUUCUUCUGGUUAAAGGAAAGAGUUGUUGUUGGGAGGGGGACUUUGGAUCUUUGCAUUUUCCGUGGGAGAUAGAACUCUCUCUCUCGGUUUCAUUGUUUUUGUUUUUUUUAGUUUUAUUGCUGGGUUGUUUCGUUAGGCAGUAGGAGUAGCUCUUAUUUUUAUUUUACUGCAGUUCAGUUCAGCAUUGAAUUUAUUUACUUUUUCGUUUUCAUC